rnacentral:rRNA from 1 species
ACAACUUUGAGCGGUGGAUCACUCGGCUCGUGCGUCGAUGAAGAGUGCAGCCAAC